GUUCCAAACUCUUGCCUCAGGAGGACACAAAAGAAACUCGAUCUGUGUUCAAUUCAGCCGCCAUAAGCUGGGCCAAAUCAGGCCAACUAUGAGAUCAUUCUGUGGUCUGCUGGCAGCAGGACUUCGUUCAUGGGCCAAUAUGCUGAUGACAUGAUCUGGAGCUAGUCACCUUUUAUCGAUCUAUGUAUGGCCACCUACAG